rnacentral:rRNA from 1 species
UACGUAGGGGGCGAGCGUUGUCCGGAUUCAUUGGGCGUAAAGCGCGGGCAGGCGGCCCGCUCAGUCGGCCGUGAAAGCGCCGGGCUCAACUCGGCGAGGUCGGGCGAUACUGGCGGGCUGGAGGCUGGUAGAGGGCGGUGGAAUUCCGGGUGUAGUGGUGGAAUGCGUAGAGCUCCGGAGGAACACCAGUGGCGAAGGCGACACGCUGGGCCGUACCUGACGCUAAAGCGCGACAGCAUGGGGAGCAAACGGG